AUAUCAAUAAGCGCAGGAAAAGAAACCAACAGGGAUUGCCUCAGUAACGGCGAGUGAAGCGGCAAUAGCUCAAAUUUGAAAUCUGGCCUCUCGGGGUCCGAGUUGUAAUUUGUAGAGGAUGUUUUGGGUACCGCCCCGGUUUAAAUUUCUUGGAACAGAAUGUCAGAGAGGGUGAGAAUCCCGUCUUGGACCGGGGUAGGGCCUGUGUAAAACUCCUUCGACGAGUCGAGUUGUUUGGGAAUGCAGCUCAAAAUGGGUGGUAAAUUUCAUCUAAAGCUAAAUAUUGGCCAGAGACCGAUAGCGCACAAGUAGAGUGAUCGAAAGAUGAAAAGCACUUUGAAAAGAGAGUUAAACAGUAUGUGAAAUUGUUGAAAGGGAAGCGCUUGCAACCAGACUUGAGCGCGGCGGUUCCCCCAGCCUUUUGGCUGGGCUACUCCGUCGUGUCCAGGCCAACAUCGGUUCUGAGGGUCGGUUAAAGGCCUUGGGAAUGUAUCUACCCACGGGUAGACUUAUAGACCAGGGUGUCAUGCGGCCUCUCGGGACCGAGGAACGCGCUUCGGCUCGGAUGUUGGCGUAAUGGUUGUCAGCGACCCGUCUUG
rnacentral:rRNA from 1 species